rnacentral:rRNA from 1 species
GUGGGGAAUAUUGGGCAAUGGGCGAAAGCCUGACCCAGCAACGCCGCGUGAAGGAAGAAGGCUUUCGGGUUGUAAACUUCUUUUGUCAGGGACGAAAAAAAUGACGGUACCUGACGAAUAAGCCACGGCUAACUACGUGCCAGCAGCCGCGGUAAUACGUAGGUGGCAAGCGUUAUCCGGAUUUACUGGGUGUAAAGGGCGUGUAGGCGGGAAAGCAAGUCAGAUGUGAAAACUAUGGGCACAAGCCAUAGCCAGCAUUUGAAACUGUUUUUCUUGAGUACUGAAGAAGCAGAUGGAAUUCCUAGUGUAGCGGUGAAAUGCGUAGAUAAUAGGAGGAACACCAGUGGCGAAGGCGAUCUGCUGGACAGCAACUGACGAUGAGGCGCUAAAGCGUGGGGAGCAAACAGGAUUAGAAGCCCCAGUAGUCC